rnacentral:rRNA from 1 species
UGUUACAAUGGCAGGUACAGAGGGAUGCUACCGGGCGACCGGAUGCGGAUCUCGAAAGCCUGUCCCAGUUCGGACUGGAGUCUGCAACCCGACUCCACGAAGUUGGAUUCGCUAGUAAUCGCGCAUCAGCCAUGGCGCGGUGAAUACGUUCCCGGGCCUUGUACACACCGCCCGUCAAGCCAUGGGAGCCGGGGGCGCCUGAAGUCCAGGACCGCGAGGACCGGCCUAGGGCGAAACUGGUAACUGGGGCUAAGUCGUAACAAGGUAUC